CAGAACCUGACCCUGGAAGUCAAUGGGCCCAAAUGGCCACCGGGGGGCACAAUCGCUUUUGGUUUGGCAGCACAGCCUUUUUUUUAAAGUCUCCACUUUGACAAAGGCCCCUUCCCGGGUAGUGCUGGCCUUGGAGACCAGAGGCAGAGGGGGGAGUUCCUCAAGGGGACUGUUUUGGUAUCAACGUGACUGCAGUUGGCACAGCCCAAGGUGAACAACACUUAUUGGCUGGAAAGGGUGCCGUCUGGUUGUGUUUGUUCAGGUCUAAAAACCAUUUAGAUCUGCGGUUCUCAGAGUGUAGUCUGCAGUUCCAGCACUAGGGAGCUUGUUAGAAAUGCAAAUGCUUGGGCCUUUACCCUAGACCUGCUGAAUCUCACCGUGGGUGGGUGUGGGGCCGGGUUAUCUGUUUUAAGAAGUCCUUCCGGGGAUCCUGCCUCACGUACAAGUUGGAGAAGCAGGGUUUAGAUGAUGCAGUGGAGGCCCUGCAUCCUGUUACCAGGUAGCCUCUUCCGUAUUGCUCAGCUCACAUCUGACUUCAAUUUGGCCUGGCGAGAGCAACACUCACUGCCCAGAGCUCAGACAGAUCUGCCGCAGGAGGGAAGCCCCUGGAAAGAUCUUCCGCUGGCCACUCCUGAGAAGGAGCUUGGAAGCUCAGUACAGGAGCUCGCUUGAGUCACAAGAGGAUGACCAUAACGAUGACUUCUUGCACAGUGAAGUUUUUCCUUCGGACCUUCCACACAAAUCCGCUUACGCAGUUGAGCCCUGCAUGCACCACGAGCGACAGUCCUGUGGGCGGCCACUGGACAAUGGAGGUGAAGUGGGGAGGCAUCAGAGUGACAGCCACGUUGUGUGCCUUCUGCACGAGCCAGACCGCAAGACAAUACUCAGAGAGAGGCAACAAUAUCCAUCCUGGCUGAGCUGAUGAUGGUGAGGGGCCACAGAGCCAUGAAAAUGACUUGGAGCAGCCUCCAUGUAUUCCUCAGUGUUGAAUCAUUGUGUGCACCCACAGAGCAUUUGCUUUGUAAAAAAAGCUAACAUUGUGAAAAAUGGGGUAGGCACUUCCUGUUUUGACCAGGAACAAAUGCAAACCAGACCCUGCUCCUCUCACCAGGCAGAGCUUGCUCUUUCAAUUCAGAGAUAUCUGCAAGGACCCAAUUAUGCUGUGGUGUGGAAUGGAGCAUUUAUGUAAACUGAGGUUCCUGCCAAAGACACCAUCUCUUGGCUGAAUGGCAAGAUUGGCCAGGACACCAGGAAGCUGAGACUGACUGGACACACAAGAGUGGGAGCUUGUGAGACAGUGGGACACAGGAC
rnacentral:lncRNA from 1 species